rnacentral:rRNA from 1 species
UACAGAGGUCUCAAGCGUUGUUCGGAUUCCUUGGGCGUAAAGGGUGCGUAGGCGGCGCGGUAAGUCGGGUGUGAAAUCUUGGAGCUUAACUCCGAAACUGCAUUCGAUACUGCCGUGCUUGAGGACUGGAGAGGAGACUGGAAUUUACGGUGUAGCGGUGAAAUGCGUAGAUAUCUGGAGGAACACCGGUGGCGAAGGCGGCAUCCUGGACCAACACUGACGCUGAGGAGCGAAAGCCAGGGGAGCAAACGGG